AGUGCAACGGUAUAUUAGUUAGGCUAUCGGUAAGCUAUUCUGAAUUUAAUUAGUGAUUUAAAAUCUUACGCAAUCCUGACAGAUAUUGUUUCUCGCCACAAAAAAGCCGGAAAAGGACACUCAACAAAAAACCCGCUGCACAUUGAAAAACGGUACCGGUUUUUAAAACCCGUGUGGCGGCCAUCGUGGUGGCAAGGCCAAUGUGUUGUUCAGUGCUUCAAAUCAGCUGAUCGUCCUAUUAUCACACGGCGUGUCUCCUCAAGGUCACCGGGACAGUGUUGCCAACAUCACGGAAGCAGCGUUGCCAACCUAACAGCAGACAGUGUUUACUCAUCAUGUUGGGAAGACUGUGGCAGCUGUUUUGUGAGUGGUUGGACAUUCUGCAACGUUUUUUUACAGCAUCCUGUUGUCCUGGAUUGAACAGUUUUGACACAGAAGAUGAAGAAGAGGAGGAAGAAAAUCUUUUGGAAAGCCCAGUGGACAAGACUGACAAAAAAGACUAAAUAGUGAAGUGCGCUCCUAACGUUCGUUAUCUAGUGAAAUUUUCAAUCCUGUUAAUACAUUUUAAAACUAUUUAAACGUGUUUUGCCGAAAUUUAAUAUGAAAUGUUGUCCCCAUGUUUUGCCGAAAAUGAGUUACCAAAUUGCUAAGUCAUCUAGGAAGGAGGCCUCGAUUGUUGCUCAUGGAAUCUCCGUCGUUGAGCGCCCUCCGAGUCUUCGCUCUCUGUCCAACUCUGUCCUGGUCACUUGAUGACGAUCACGCAGACCACACUUUCUGUCACUUUUGUACUUAUUUAUUUGUGAAUUGUUUUGUUACGAUGUCUUAAAUACAUUGUUUUGUUUUGUAA